rnacentral:misc_RNA from 1 species
AAGUCGUAACAAGGUUUCCGUAGGUGAACCUGCGGAAGGAUCAUUAGCAAAGAAAUCUAGGUUUAUAGGGGGUUGGAAAGGGGGUAAUAGGAAGGAUUUGGGGGGAGGUUUUAAAUUUCCUUCUCUUUUCUCUCUAUCUCUCUACCUCUCUCUACUAACCAAAAUAUUCACUCGGACUGUCUAUCAUGGACAGUCUCGAGAUAUAUUCACGAUUGUAUUGUUUGACAGAGUCAUGUGACCUUAUAAAAAAAAAGAUAACUUUUAACAAUGGAUCUCUUGGCUCUU